AGCAUCAUGGCGCAGAUGGAAGCGCGCGGGGCCCAUACGGCGCUUAUAUAAGCACAGAACCCCGAGGUCACUCGAUCGAAACGAGUUGAUGCUA